ACAUGGUGAAACCCCAUCUCUAUUUAAAAUACAAAAAUUAACUGGGCAUGGUGGCACACACCUAUAAUCUCAGCUACUCGGGAGGAUGAGGCAGGAGAAUCGCUUGAACCCAGGAGGCAGAGGUUGUAGUGAGCUGAGAUCACACCACUACACUCCAGCCUGGGUGAAAAAGCAAGACUCCAUUGCAAAAAAAAAAAAAAGAUUUGGUGACUUCCCUGUUGGAUUUCGGACUUGAUCGUCUGACAAAUUUGGAUUUUCUGCUUGUGGUGUUUGUAUUAAAUAAGCAUUUGCUACCCCCAGAGCAGGGUAUCUUCAUCCCGCUCUUCCUCCAGUUUCUUGGGCUUUAUCCUAGACCAGU
rnacentral:lncRNA from 1 species